GGAGGAGUCGCAUAGCCCGGUCGAGUGCGGCGGUCUCGAAAACCGUUAGGCCCAUUAGGGUCUCGAGGGUUCGAAUCCCUCCUCCUCCGCAA
rnacentral:tRNA from 6 species